GUGCCAGACUCCUACGGGAGGCAGCAGUGAGGAAUAUUGGUCAAUGGGCGAGAGCCUGAACCAGCCAAGUCGCGUGAGGGAAGACGGUCCUAUGGAUUGUAAACCUCUUUUGCCGGGGAGCAAAAAGCGGUACGUGUACCGCAUCGAGAGUACCCGGAGAAAAAGCAUCGGCUAACUCCGUGCCAGCAGCCGCGGUAAUACGGAGGAUGCGAGCGUUAUCCGGAUUUAUUGGGUUUAAAGGGUGCGCAGGCGGCGAUUGAGGUCGGCGUUAAAUUGUCGGGCCACACCCCCGCCGAGCCGUUGAAACUGGCUUGCUAGAGUGGGCGAGAAGUAUGCGGAAUGCGUGGUGUAGCGGUGAAAUGCAUAGAUAUCACGCAGAACUCCGAUUGCGAAGGCAGCAUACCGGCGCCCAACUGACGCUGAAGCACGAAAGCGUGGGUAUCGAACAGGAUUAGAUACCCUUGUA
rnacentral:rRNA from 1 species